UACAGAGGUGGCAAGCGUUGUUCGGAAUUACUGGGCGUAAAGCGCGCGUAGGCGGCUUUGCAAGUCGGGUGUGAAAUCCCCAGGCUUAACCUGGGAACUGCAUUCGAGACUGCAUUGCUAGAGUAUGGGAGAGGGAAGUGGAAUUUCCGGUGGUAGCGGUGAAAUGCGGUAGAUAUCGGAAGGAACAUCAGUGGCGAAAGCGACUUCCUGGACCAAUACUGACGCUCAUGUGCGAAAGCGUGGGGAGCAAACAGGGAUUAAGAAACCCUAGUA
rnacentral:rRNA from 1 species